rnacentral:rRNA from 1 species
AUGAACGCUAGCGACAGGCUUAACACAUGCAAGUCGAGGGGCAGCACAGGUAGCAAUACCGGGUGGCGACCGGCGCACGGGUGAGUAACGCGUAUGCAACUUACCUAUCAGAGGGGGAUAACCCGGCGAAAGUCGGACUAAUACCGCAUGAAGCAGGGGCCCCGCAUGGGGAUAUUUGCUAAAGAUUCAUCGCUGAUAGAUAGGCAUGCGUUCCAUUAGGCAGUUGGCGGGGUAACGGCCCACCAAACCGACGAUGGAUAGGGGUUCUGAGAGGAAGGUCCCCCACAUUGGUACUGAGACACGGACCAAACUCCUACGGGAGGCAGCAGUGAGGAAUAUUGGUCAAUGGCCGAGAGGCUGAACCAGCCAAGUCGCGUGAGGGAUGAAGGUUCUAUGGAUCGUAAACCUCUUUUAUAAGGGAAUAAAGUGCGGGACGUGUCCCGUUUUGUAUGUACCUUAUGAAUAAGGAUCGGCUAACUCCGUGCCAGCAGCCGCGGUAAUACGGAGGAUCCGAGCGUUAUCCGGAUUUAUUGGGUUUAAAGGGUGCGUAGGCGGCCUUUUAAGUCAGCGGUGAAAGUCUGUGGCUCAACCAUAGAAUUGCCGUUGAAACUGGGGGGCUUGAGUAUGUUUGAGGCAGGCGGAAUGCGUGGUGUAGCGGUGAAAUGCAUAGAUAUCACGCAGAACCCCGAUUGCGAAAGCAGCCUGCCAAGCCAUGACUGACGCUGAUGCACGAAAGCGUGGGGAUCAAACAGGAUUAGAUACCCUGGUAGUCCACGCAGUAAACGAUGAUCACUAGCUGUUUGCGAUACACUGUAAGCGGCACAGCGAAAGCGUUAAGUGAUCCACCUGGGGAGUACGCCGGCAACGGUGAAACUCAAAGGAAUUGACGGGGGCCCGCACAAGCGGAGGAACAUGUGGUUUAAUUCGAUGAUACGCGAGGAACCUUACCCGGGUUUGAACGCAUUCGGACCGAGGUGGAAACACCUUUUCUAGCAAUAGCCGUUUGCGAGGUGCUGCAUGGUUGUCGUCAGCUCGUGCCGUGAGGUGUCGGCUUAAGUGCCAUAACGAGCGCAACCCUUGCCACUAGUUACUAACAGGUAAAGCUGAGGACUCUGGUGGGACUGCCAGCGUAAGCUGCGAGGAAGGCGGGGAUGACGUCAAAUCAGCACGGCCCUUACAUCCGGGGCGACACACGUGUUACAAUGGCGUGGACAAAGGGAGGCCACCUGGUGACAGGGAGCGAAUCCCCAAACCACGUCUCAGUUCGGAUCGGAGUCUGCAACCCGACUCCGUGAAGCUGGAUUCGCUAGUAAUCGCGCAUCAGCCAUGGCGCGGUGAAUACGUUCCCGGGCCUUGUACACACCGCCCGUCAAGCCAUGGGAGCCGGGGGUACCUGAAGUCCGUAACCGAAAGGAUCGGCCUAGGGUAAAACUGGUGACUGGGGCU